rnacentral:sRNA from 1 species
UCGACGAGAGCGGUGACCGGUGCUUGAA